GCUCGUCUGCUCCUUCCCGUGGGUCCAGCAGGUGCUGCAGCUCCAGAGAAGCCUGUUGAGGAGCUCUGGAUCCGCCACACAGGACCUGCUGGCUCUCCUGGCCUCCAUCGCUCGUGGCUUCACUGAGGCAGCGUUGAUCCUCCACAGGUCUCUCCGUGGGGCCUUCCCUCCGGGCACCACCUUCCCAUGUGGGACUUCACCCAGGGAAGAGGACUCCACAGAGAGGACCUUCUUCUCUCGGCCCCCGCUGCGGGAGAAGCUGAGCCGUCACUCUGGUGUUGUUGCUGGAGCUGGUUCCUUGUUGACCAUGGACCCCGGGUCUCCGGGCUCCGGCCCAGGUUCCAGCCCGCAUAGCCCAGAUGUACAACGAGUUGAGUCCCUGACCGACACCCUGCCUUCGCCGGUGAUCGAUCACAGCCACUCAGCGACGCUUGUGGCUUCCCAGCUGCAGCCUCAGCCGCGAGCCCUCCAGUCCGGGCUCUGGCUGAAGGCCCUGCACCUCCUCCUGGCCCUGAAGGGGCUCGUCUGCUCCUUCCCGUGGGUCCAGCAGGUGCUGCAGCUCCAGAGAACCCUGUUGAGGAGCUCUGGAUCAGCCACACAGGACCUGCUGGCUCUCCUGGCCUCCAUCGCUCGUGGCUUCACUGAGGCAGCGUUGAUCCUCCACAGGUCUCUCCGUGGGGCCUUCCCUCCGGGCACCACCUUCCCAUGUGGGACUUCACCCAGGGAAGAGGACUCCCCAGAGAGGACCUUCUUCUCUCGGCCCCCGCUGCGGGAGAAGCUGAGCCGUCACUCUGGUGAAUUGGUUGGCAACAGCAGCAAGGGCGUCACUUUGUGUUGAAA
ensembl:lncRNA